GUGAGGAAUAUUGCGCAAUGGAGGCAACUCUGACGCAGCCAUGCCGCGUGCAGGAAGAAGGCGCUACGCGUUGUAAACUGCUUUUAACCGGGAAGAAACCCCAGGACGUGUCCUGGGUUGACGGUACCGGAGGAAUAAGCACCGGCUAACUUCGUGCCAGCAGCCGCGGUAAUACGAAGGGUGCAAGCGUUAUCCGGAUUCAUUGGGUUUAAAGGGUGCGUAGGCGGAGCGUUAAGUCAGUGGUGAAAUCCUGCAGCUUAACUGGAGACGUGCCAUUGAUACUGGCGCUCUAGAGUGCGCUUGAAGGGGGCGGAAUGUGCCGUGUAGCGGUGAAAUGCUUAGAUAUGGCACAGAACACCAAUUGCGAAGGCAGCUCACUAAGGCGAUACUGACGCUGAGGCACGAAAGCGUGGGGAUCGAACAGGAUUAGAUACCCCAGUAGUCC
rnacentral:rRNA from 1 species